rnacentral:rRNA from 1 species
AACGAGCGGCGGACGGGUGAGUAACACGUGGGCAACCUGCCUGUAAGACUGGGAUAACUCCGGGAAACCGGGGCUAAUACCGGAUAACUCAUCGAAUCGCAUGAUUCGAUGUUGAAAGGUGGCAUAUGCUAUCACUUACAGAUGGGCCCGCGGCGCAUUAGCUAGUUGGUGGGGUAACGGCCUACCAAGGCCACGAUGCGUAGCCGACCUGAGAGGGUGAUCGGCCACACUGGGACUGAGACACGGCCCAGACUCCUACGGGAGGCAGCAGUAGGGAAUCAUCCGCAAUGGACGAAAGUCUGACGGUGCAACGCCGCGUGAGUGAGGAAGGUCUUCGGAUCGUAAAACUCUGUUGUUAGAGAAGAACAAGUGCUGUUCGAAUAGGUCAGCACCUUGACGGUACCUAACCAGAAAGCCACGGCUAACUACGUGCCAGCAGCCGCGGUAAUACGUAGGUGGCAAGCGUUGUCCGGAAUUAUUGGGCGUAAAGCGCGCGCAGGCGGUUCCUUAAGUCUGAUGUGAAAGCCCACGGCUCAACCGUGGAGGGUCAUUGGAAACUGGGGGACUUGAGUACAGAAGAGGAGAGCGGAAUUCCACGUGUAGCGGUGAAAUGCGUAGAUAUGUGGAGGA